CUUAGAGAAAUAUGGCAAAUCAACCACCCACUCCCCCAGGAAUGCAGGCCAACCCAGUACUUAGCCAUCAGCCAUUUUUUUUUUGGUAUUCUUCACUUGAAUGCUGUUUAUUUUUUUCUACUUCCAAUGAACAAGAGGAAGACUUCUUUUCAAAAGGAUGCUCAAGAAGUUGCUGGGCUCUCAGGGAUAAACCUGAAGCUAGGACCAGGAGAGGAUUUGUCCCAAUUUUGGAUAAAUCAAAUCAUAGAAGAGGACUGUCCCUAAUCCCAUUAGUGGAAGUCUAACUACAAGAAGAUUCAUCCAAGUCCAAAGUUGGCAAGGCAAAAAUUGGGACACCUGGUGAUGACUGUGGAUGCAGUGGGUGAACUUGGCAUUUUUGAAGUCUAACCAAGUGAUAAGUGUUCUAUGGAACAUGCCUACUUCAGCCACCUUCAUGGCUUUUGGAACAAAUUGUUCUCAUCCACCCAUAACAUCAAGAGAAGUCAUCACAUGCUUGCGAUAAACAUCUCCCUUACUCACUGAUGGGUCUGAGGCCUGUUGCUUACCUUCAACCUGGUUUAGCCCAUUUUCUAACACUAUAGCUUUUUGGAGCCACUGGUGAGAGUUGGGUGAAAGAUGGGCACCACAGGCGGAUGAGCAGCCCUGCUUGGCAAGUCUUCAUACCACAGAUGCUAGUCUUCUCUGAAUACUCCAUGAUCAGUGAUCAGUACAGGAUAAAAUAUAGAUCUCUGAAGCAUUCCAUCGGAGCUUUUUUUCCCAAGCUGACAUCAUUCCAUUAAUGAUAACUUUAAGUCUACUUGUCAUUUGUCUAGUACCAAGCCAUAUAACUAUACUAGCCUAUAUCCAGCAGUGUGCUAGAGCCAGAUUAUGCAAGCUAGUAAAAGCUGGUUGUUAAAUUUUCAUUGUGAGCACUUGCACCCCAGGAAUCAGAAGGUGUUACAAAUUAGGGCUUUAUUCUUUUGUUCAUUAUCUAUAAAGUAAUAGAGAAAAGAUUAAUAAUGCAGUUUAAACUUAAAAGUGUGUUGAGCAUUUUCCGAGAGCUGAUUAUUAAACACUUAACACCCCUGCCCAGAAAUCUCCUUUUUUCACAAGCACAACACAGAAGACUUUAUCAAAAUAAUUGAGGAAAUUUCAGCAUACUAUAUCAUGUUUCCUUGAGAGGCAGACUUGAAGCCUGGACUCAGUCAGGAAGAAUAGUGUUUUUAUAUUCAACACUCACUGGCUCUGUGACUUAAGGCAAAUCAUCUAACCACUCUGAACAUAUUUAGUUUUAAAAUCUAUAUAAUGGGAAUAA
rnacentral:lncRNA from 1 species